GACGUCAGAAGCUAGCGCCGUGCCGGCCCCAACUUUGGCUCGGGCUAGUGCGCUUCAGUGGUACUGGCGUCUCGCUUGCCUGCACCGACUGCACACUUACCAUCCAUCUCCACUUCAGGGAUUUUGUUCACUUCUCUGGAUGAUUUCCCUAAUAGUUUAUCCGAGGCUUGAACUUUCCAGGAAAAUCCUAUAACUGGUGUUGGAAAUUAGUUAAAACAUAAAUAGAGCUCCUAAGCCAGGCAUGGUGCCACACACCUGUAGUCCCAGCACUCCUGUCCCAAGCAGAGACGGAAGGAUCACUGAGGCAUGGAACUGCAAGGCCUUGGUAAAGCUAAGCAUGCACUCAGCUGCUGAGCUACACACUCCAGAACCAGAAUAUUCAUCUUUAAACAUGCUUCUCCACAUGAUAAACAGUAAAAUUUAAGA